AUUCUCUCAACGCACAGUCACUCCUAGUUCUGCUCUCUUGAUUCCUGCUGUUCCUUCAGCCCCCGUUGCUGUCAUUCAGGCUGUUCACUGAAAGGCAAUCCUGGCUUCCUAAUCACGAGGCACGACUGUGCUCCCGAGAGAUCACACUAACUGUUGGAGAGCAUCUAUUUCUCUGAAUCUUCUGCAACAUAAGGAAGAUUAGCCCUGAGCUAACAUCUGCUGCCAAUUCUCCUCUUUUUGCUGAGGAAGACUGGCCUUGAGCUAACAUCCGUGCCCAUCUUCCUCUGCUUUAUAUGUGGGACGCCUACCACAACAUGCUUGCCAAGUGGUGCCAUGUCCGC
rnacentral:lncRNA from 1 species